rnacentral:rRNA from 1 species
CGAAUUUGAUCCUGGCUUAGGAUGAACUUUGACAGCAUGCUUAACACAUACAAUUCAAAUGAGAAGUGGUGUUUCUAGUGGCGGACGAGAGAGUAAUGUGUGAGAGCCUAUCAUUGGAAAGAGAACAAUAGCUGCAAAUGGAUGAUAAUACCCCAUACGCUGAGGAGCAAAAUGAGGCAUUCACCCAAUGAGAGGCUCGCGUCUGAUUAGCUUGUUGGUGAGGCAAUAGCUUACCAAGGUGAUGAUAAGUAGCUGGUUCAAGAUGAUGAUCAGGCACACUGGGAUUGAGGGAUGACCUAGAGUCCUAUGAGGUCUUCAAAUGGGAAUUUUCUAUAAUUGGCGAAAGCCUGACAGAGCAAUAUCGCAUGGAGGUAGAAGGCCAACAGGUUGUAAACUUCUUUUCCCAGAGAARAAGCAUUGACGGCAUCUAGGGAAUAAGCAUCAGUUAACUCUGUGCCAACAACCGUGGUAAUAUAGAAGAUGCAAGCCUAAUUCAGAAUGAUUGGGCGUAAAGCGUCCUUAGAUAGCUUUAUAAGUCCGCCGCCAAAUCCCAUGGCUCAACUUUGGACAGGCGGUGGAAACUACCAAGCUGGGAUAUGGUAGGGAUCGAGGGAAUUUCUGGUGGAGUGAUGAAAUGCRUAGAGAUCGGAAAGAGCGCCAAGGGUGAUAGCACUAUGUUGGGACGACACUGACGCUGAGAGAUAAAAGCUAGGUGAGUGAAUGGGAUUAGAUAUCCCAGUGGUCCUAGCUGUAAACAAUUGAUAUGAAGAGUUSUGCGCGUCGCCCAUGCAUUACUGUAGCUAACAUGUUAAGUAUCUGGCAUGAGAAGUACGUUUGCAAGAAUGAAACUCAAAGGAACUAACGGGAGGCCACACAAGCCGUGGACCAUGUGGUUUAAUUCGAUGCAAAGUGAAGAACCUUACCAAGGCUGGACAUGCCGUGAACCUCUUGAAAGAGAGGGGUGCCUUCAGGAAUAUGGACAUAUAAGGUGCAUGGUUAUCAUUAGCUCAUGCCGUAAAGUGUUAGGUGAAGCCCCACAAUGAGCACAACCCUCGUGUUUAGUCACCGUCAUUGAGUUCAGAACCCUAAAUAGACUACCAGUGAUAAGCCAAAUGAAGGUAAGGAUGAUGACUGGACAUCAUGCCUCUUAUGCCAUGGGCGACACACGUGCUGCAAUGGUCGGGACAAAGGGUCGCCAUCCCUUGAGGGUGAGCUAACCCUAAAAACCCAUCCUCAGUUCAAAUUGUAGGCUGCAACUCACAUGCAUGAAGCCGAAUUCGCUAGUAAAUGCUGGCUAUGGCAGUGAAUUCGUUCCCGAGCCUUGUACACAUCGCUCAUCACACUAUGGAGAGUUCCUAAUCGAAUCGCUUUAAGAAGAAUAUAUUUUAUCUCAGGGUAGCCUACUCCAAUUCAAAAUCAU